CGAUCUGUAACUGGUCUGAGAGGAUGAUCAGUCACACCGGAACUGAGACACGGUCCGGACUCCUACGGGAGGCAGCAGUGGGGAAUAUUGGACAAUGGGGGCAACCCUGAUCCAGCCAUGCCGCGUGUGUGAAGAAGGCCUUUUGGUUGUAAAGCACUUUAAGCAGGGAGGAGAGGCUAAUGGUUAAUACCCAUUAGAUUAGACGUUACCUGCAGAAUAAGCACCGGCUAACUCUGUGCCAGCAGCCGCGGUAAUACAGAGGGUGCGAGCGUUAAUCGGAAUUACUGGGCGUAAAGCGAGUGUAGGUGGCUCAUUAAGUCACAUGUGAAAUCCCCGGGCUUAACCUGGGAACUGCAUGUGAUACUGGUGGUGCUAGAAUAUGUGAGAGGGAAGUAGAAUUCCAGGUGUAGCGGUGAAAUGCGUAGAGAUCUGGAGGAAUACCGAUGGCGAAGGCAGCUUCCUGGCAUAAUAUUGACACUGAGAUUCGAAAGCGUGGGUAGCAAACA
rnacentral:rRNA from 1 species